rnacentral:rRNA from 1 species
CCCCUUCCCUAGGUGAACCUGCGGAAGGAUCAUUACCGAGUGCGGGCCCUCGCGGCCCAACCUCCCACCCUUGUCUCUCUACACCUGUUGCUUUGGCGGGCCCACCGGGGCCACCUGGUCGCCGGGGGACGCACGUCCCCGGGCCCGCGCCCGCCGAAGCGCUCUGUGAACCCUGAUGAAGAUGGGCUGUCUGAGUACGAUGAAAAUUGUCAAAACUUUCAACAAUGGAUCUCUUGGUUCCGGCAUCGAUGAAGAACGCAGCGAAAUGCGAUAAGUAAUGUGAACUUGCAGAAUUCCGUGAAUCAUCGAAUCUUUGAACGCACACUUGCGCCCCCUGGCAUUCCGGGGGGCAUGCCUGUCCGAGCGUCAUUUCUGCCCUCAAGCACGGCUUGUGUGUUGGGUGUCGGUCCCCCCGGGGACCUGCCCGAAAUGGCAGCGGCGACGUCCGUCUGGUCCUCGAGCGUAUGGGGCUCUGUCACUCGCUCGGGAAGGACCUGCGGGGGUUGUCACCACCAUAUUUACCACGGUGACCUCGAUUCAGUAGAUACCCGCUGAUA